AUAUUAAAUUUCUCUAUCAGUAUUUUAAAUUUUGUCAUGAUUUUACAUGUUUGAUAUAUAUGUAAACUAAUUUUGCUUGUAUUUUUAACAAUAAAGUAGAGCUUUUCACAAUUUUUAUUGAAUGAAUUUAUAGCAAAUUUAGUUUUAGUAUUUUAUGAGGUGAAUUCAUUUAAUGAGUCAUUAAUUUAAAGAAAGAAAAAGAAUUUCUAAUUUAUU
rnacentral:lncRNA from 1 species